UGGGGAAUUUUGCACAAUGGGGGAAACCCUGAUGCAGCGACGCCGCGUGCUUUAGAAGGCCUUCGGGCUGUAAAAAUCUCUUCUAUGGGUAGAAAAUGACAGUACCAUAGGAAUAAGGACCGGCUAAUUACGUGCCAGCAGCCGCGGUAAUACGUAAGGUCCGAGCGUUGUCUGGAAUCAUUGGGCGUAAAGGGUACGUAGGCGGGUAAGCAAGUUAGAAGUGAAAUCCUGUAGCUCAACUACAGUAAGCUUUUAAAACUGCUCAUCUUGAGAUAUGGAAGGGAAAGUGGACUUCCUAGUGUAGCGGUGAAAUGCGCAGAUAUUAGGAGGAAUACCGGUGGCGAAGGCGACUCUCUAGUCUGUAACUGACGCUGAGGCUCGAAAGCGUGGGUAGCAAACAGG
rnacentral:rRNA from 1 species